rnacentral:rRNA from 1 species
UUCUGGUUGAUUCUGCCAGUAGGCAUAUGCUCGUUUCAAAGAUUAAGCCAUGCAUGUCUUAGUUCAUACCUAGUUAAAGUGAGACUGCGAAAGGCUCAGUAUAUCAGUUAUAGUUUAUUCGAUUGUGAAAUCCACAUGGAUAACCGUGGAAAAUCUAGAGCUAACACAUGCGAAAAAUGACUGUAGUCUUCGGAUUGCAGUUAUGCAUUUAUUAGAAUAGAACCAAUCAGGAGCGUUAAAACCUUCUGUCGUGGUGAGUCUGAAUAACUGUGCCGAUCGUAUGGCCUAGAGCCGACGACGUUUCGAUUAAAUUUCUGCCCUAUCAAUUUGUUGGUAAGGUAGUGGCCUACCAAGAUAAUUACGGGUAACGGGGAAUCAGGGUUCGAUUCCGGAGAGGGAGCCUGAGAAACGGCUACCACAUCCAAGGAAGGCAGCAGGCGCGCAAAUUACCCAAUCCAAACACUGGGAGGUGGUGACGAGAAAUACCAGGUCGUUCCCAAAAGGAUUCGACACUGGAAUGAAUGUAACUUAAAAAAUUCAAUGAGUAGCAACUGGAGGGCAAGUCUGGUGCCAGCAGCCGCGGUAAUUCCAGCUCCAGUAGUGUAUCUUAAAGUUGCUGCGGUUAAAACGCUCGUAGUUGGACAACAGAGCGACUUGGUGCGGGCGGGAGUUGUUAAUACUUUGCAACUGUAAUGCUAGUCUUUGACGAAACAGUAUGUGUACAUUGUACCGAUUCUCGACCAUGCAGCUAAGUCGCUUAGAAUAUUUUGUGAGAAUAACGUAUGGCCUUCAUUGUGUUGUAUGUUGUAUCUUGCAUAGCGUGCCUUGAAUAAAUCAGAGUGCUCAAAGCAAGCUUACGCUUGAAUGUAAAUAGCAUGGAACGAAUGUUUUGUGAAUGCGUAGCUGGUGACUUUCGGGUUGCUGGUUACGUAGCACCAACCACGAAGCGGAGCAUUGGUUGCUGUCUUCGGGUGAUGAUUAAGAGGGGCAUUUGGGGGCAUUAGUAUUUGGACGCGAGAGGUGAAAUUCUUGGACCGUCCAAGGACUAACAAGUGCGAAAGCAUUUGCCAAGUAUGUUCCCUUUAAUCAAGAACGAAAGUGAGAGGAUCGAAGACGAUCAGAUACCGUCCUAGUUCUCACCGUAAACUAUGCCAACCCGGGAUCAGUUCGGAUGUAUAUACAUUGGAUCCAGGUUGGUCCCCCUGGGAAACCUCGAGUUUUUAGGUUCCGGGGGGAGUAUGGUUGCAAGGCUGAAACUUAAAGGAAUUGACGGAAGGGCACCACCAGGAGUGGAGCCUGCGGCUUAAUUUGACUCAACACGGGAAAACUCACCUGGUCCGGACAUCGAUAGGAUUGACAGACUAAUAGAUCUUUCAUGAUACGGUGGGUGGUGGUGCAUGGCCGUUCUUAGUUCGUGGAGUGAUCUGUCAGGUUGAUUCCGGUAACGAACGAGACCACGAUCUCCAUUUGGGGGAUUGUAAGACCAAUUGUUUGGGGUUGUGUAGGAUUCGUUUUGCAUAGCACUAUGCAGUAGGCGUUAUGAUGUAUGUGCAGCAAUGCGCAUUCCUAUGGAGAGACAGCCGGAUAUUAAACCGGAGGAAGCGUGGCAAUAACAGGUCUGUGAUGCCCUUCGAUGUUCAGGGCUGCACGCGCGCUACAAUGAUAACGACAACGAGUAUCUGGACUGAAAAGUUCUGGGGAAUCUUGUCAAUCGUUAUCGUGAUGGGGAUUGAGCAUUGUAAUUGUUGCUCAUAAAAUAGGAAUUCCUUGUAAUUGCAACUCAUUCAGGUUGCAAUGAAUAAGUCUCUGCCCUUUGUACACACCGCCCGUCGCUACUACCGAGUGAAUGGUGUCAUGAUGUCUUGGGACUGGACGUUGUUGGUAGUGCAAACUACGGAUGACGCUAGGAGCAAGACAAAAUGGCCCUAUUUCGAGGAAGUAAAAGUCGUAACAAGGUUUCCGUAGGUGAACCAGCGGAAGAAA